rnacentral:rRNA from 1 species
UACGUAGGGGGCAAGCGUUGUCCGGAUUUAUUGGGCGUAAAGAGCGUGUAGGCGGCUUUACAGGUCCGUUGUGAAAACUCGAGGCUCAACCUCGAGACGCCGGUGGAAACCGUAAGGCUAGAGUCCGGAAGAGGAGAGUGGAAUUCCUGGUGUAGCGGUGAAAUGCGCAGAUAUCAGGAGGAACACCCGUGGCGAAAGCGGCUCUCUGGGACGGUACUGACGCUGAGACGCGAAAGCGUGGGGAGCGAACAGG